UAUCACCAUUUUCAUACAUAGGUGGCUGC
rnacentral:sRNA from 1 species